UAAUACGAGGGGUGCUAGCGUUGUCCGGAAUCACUGGGCGUAAAGGGUCCGUAGGCGGUCUGACAAGUCAUUUGUAAAAUACACCGGCUUAACCGGUGACCUGCAUCUGAAACUGUCAGGAUAGAGUUCAGGAGAGGAAAGUGGAAUUUCUGGUGUAGCGGUGACAUGCGUAGAUAUCAGAAGGAACACCAAUGGCGAAGGCAACUUUCUGGCCUGAAACUGACGCUGAGGGACGAAAGCGUGGGGAGCGAACAGGAUUAGAUACCCUGGUAGUCCACGCCGUAAACGAUGAGUACUUGGUGUCGGGAGAUUCGACCCUCUCGGUACCGGAGCUAACGCGUUAAGUACUCCGCCUGGGUAUUACGACCGCA
rnacentral:rRNA from 1 species